rnacentral:misc_RNA from 1 species
AGAUGCCAUUCUAUGUA